GAAAAAAAGAAAAAAUUAUUUGGAUAAUUCUAGUCAGAACAAGCAACACAGAGAGAGGCUCAUACUCACAGCAAAAUAGAGAAAAACUGAGAGAGAGAGAGAGAGAGCUUUUUUCAAUGGCAGUUUCUUCAAUCUCUGCAACACUAAUUCCUUCCAUUCCAUUGCCCAAUUCUUCUCCAUUUCCUUCCAAACCAAAACUCUCUUCUGUCUCUUUCUACACUUGUAAAGCCUUAAAGCUCAAAGCCCUUAAACCCUCACUACCAUCUACCAGGGUUUAUGCUGCUCCUGAAGUGUUGGAAUCCCCAGAAACUCUAGACCCACCUCUAGAAACCCCAGAUGAGUCUGACCCUACUACAACCUUUGAGGUUGGAGAUUCCGAGACACCCAGUACUUCUUCACUCAGUAUUGGUGCAGAUGCAGACUCGAUGGCCCCAAAGCAGAAAAUCAGAAUUAAGCUUAGAUCAUACUGGGUGCCCCUAAUAGAGGACUCCUGCAAGCAGAUAUUGGAUGCUGCAAGGACUACAAAUGCAAAAACCAUGGGUCCUGUUCCAUUACCAACCAAGAAGCGAAUCUAUUGCGUUCUUAAAUCACCACAUGUGCACAAGGAUGCAAGAUUCCAUUUUGAGAUCCGUACGCACCAGCGCCUCAUUGAUAUUCUUUACCCAACUGCGCAAACAAUUGAUUCUUUGAUGCAACUUGAUCUUCCUGCUGGUGUUGAUGUGGAGGUCAAGCUCUGAAGAAACAGUGCUGCAGCUUAGGUUCUGGAUUGCUUCCUAGAGCAAAUAUCCCUUAGAGAUGUCAUUGUCGAGAUUUGCCUUGUAGAGGGGUGAUCACAGGAACAAGUUCAUUGAACAGUUGGCCUGUUCUCAGAAGUUUCUUUUGUGGAUUUCUUGUAAGCAAUAUCCUAUAGAAAAUUGAAACCACUGACCUCUUGAAGAAAGGCAUGUAGAGUUUCUCUGUGGCAUUCUCAUUUCCUUGUCCUUGCAUUAGUUGUUAGAGCUGGAUGAAAAAUACCAAGAUUUAUGACGUCUUGAAUGUUUAAUGAGCCGUGUUUUACUAUAUUCUAGUUCUUGUCAGAUUAGUAUGUGCUGUGACACAUUAUCUUGUAUUUUUUCAUAAAUAUGAAGUAGAUUUGAUAUAAAGGGUAGAAUGAGAUGAAAAGUUUACCACA